GAUGAACGCUGGCGGCGUGCCUAAUACAUGCAAGUCGAGCGAACGGACGAGAAGCUUGCUUCUCUGAUGUUGGCGGCGGACGGGUGAGUAACACGUGGAUAACCUACCUAUAAGACUUGGAGAACUUCGGGAAACCGGAGCUAAUACCGGAUAAUAUUUUGAACCGGAUGGUUCAAAAGUGAAAGACGGUCUGGCUGUCACUUAUAGAUGGAUCCGCGUUGCAUUAGCUAGUUGGUAAGGUAACGGCUUACCAAGGCAACGAUGCAUAGCUGACCUGAGAGGAUGAUCGGCCACACUGGAACUGAGACACGGUCCAGACUCCUACGGGAGGCAGCAGUAGGGAAUAUUCCGCAAUGGGCGCAAGCCUGACGGAGCAGCGCCGCGUGAGUGAUGAAGGUCUUCGGAUCGUAAAACUCUGUUAUUAGGGAAGAAAAUAUGUGUAAGUAACUGUGCACAUCUUGACGGUACCUAAUCAGAAAGCCACGGCUAACUUCGUG
rnacentral:rRNA from 1 species